UUGCCUCUUGGACUGGGACAACUGUUGGAAACGACAGCUAAUACCGGAUAUUAUGAGAUUCUCGCAUGAGAAACUUAUGAAAGCUAUAUGCGCCAAGAGAGAGCCUUGCGUUCCAUUAGCUAGUUGGUGGGGUAACGGCCCACCAAGGCGACGAUGGAUAGCCGGCCUGAGAGGGUGAACGGCCACAAGGGGACUGAGACACGGCCCUUACUCCUACGGGAGGCAGCAGUGGGGAAUAUUGGACAAUGGACCAAAAGUCUGAUCCAGCAAUUCUGUGUGCACGAUGAAGGUCUUCGGAUUGUAAAGUGCUUUCAGUUGGGAAGAAGCAAGUGACGGUACCAACAGAAGAAGCGACGGCUAAAUACGUGCCAGCAGCCGCGGUAAUACGUAUGUCGCAAGCGUUAUCCGGAUUUAUUGGGCGUAAAGCGCGUCUAGGCGGAAAAAUAAGUCUGAUGUUAAAAUGCGGGGCUCAACUCCGUAUUGCGUUGGAAACUGUUUUUCUAGAGUACUGGAGAGGUGGGCGGAACUACAAGUGUAGAGGUGAAAUUCGUAGAUAUUUGUAGGAAUGCCGAUGGAGAAGUCAGCUCACUGGACAGAUACUGACGCUGAAGCGCGAAAGCGUG
rnacentral:rRNA from 1 species